AGAUUUUAGAGAAAGGGAAAAAGAGAGAAAGGUUCUCUCUUCUUCUAGUUUUCUUCUUCCUCCUCUUCCUUCUAUUUUUCUCCUCCUCUUCUCCUUGUUCUCUGAGAGGGUCUUAGAGAGUUGAAAAGGGUCUUCAAUCAGCCAUUAAGGAGGCAUCUUCUGUAAGAGAGCUAGCACCCCGAUGAAGAUAAAGACUUCUGAUCGGAUCAAAGAC
rnacentral:lncRNA from 1 species